GGAAGAAAAAGCUAUCAUUUUUCUCUUCCCCUUCACCGAAAUAUGCAGCAAAGAAAGGGUUUUGAAGCUGGAAAAUUUCAGCAACAUAUUUCCCUUGCUUAUGAUGAAAAUUGAGAUUUGGACCUAGAACGGAAAGAAAUCGAUUUAUGGACGAGUAUGUCUUUUCACCUUUGUGGUAUCGAGAGUUUCCAGGUUAGCUCGGGUUGGAGGCCGUCAGAGAUAUUAUCACCCUAUCGAGUUAACGUUAUUGGAGUAAGUAAACUCAAGUGAUUCGAGUCUAUGGCAUGUAUAGGGUUUUAAUGUGAGUAUGCAAUAUUUUGAUUUAGCCAAAGGCAUUGGCUUGUUAUUAAGGUAGUAUUAGUUAUGUAAAUUGGCCUAUGUCGGCUAAUAUCGUUAUGGGCCCAUAUGAUUAUUCUUAUGCAUUUAUGUUAUUAUUUCUUGUGAUGUGGCUUACAACAUGUAUGCCUAGAGAUUGAAUUGAGAUUCAUUGAUGAGCUAGUAACUAAUGCAAGAUUAAAUGAUUGGUAAAUAGUUAAUAAUGCUUCAUGAAUGGUUUGUGAUGUAAUGAUAGUUAUGUCUAGUAUGUGGUAAUGAUAUGGGCAAAUUCUAUAAUAUUUAUUGCAUAAGAAAAUAACUUGAGCAUAA